AAGCCUGCGAAACCACCCACCACUCCUGCCGGUCCAGACACCACUCACACCAAUCGACGGCGCCUCUGCCUCGCCAGUCGCCGCAGCAUCGCCAUACGCCAGACGCCCAGAUAUCAGUGCACUUGUGCCCUAAUCGCCACUCCUGCUGGUGGCACGAUGAGCUAAGUGUGCUGGUGAUGAUGGAAACUCCAAGACAACUUCGAAUAUGAUGAGUGUGCUGCGAGUCGAUCAGCGAUGCGCUACUGCUACUUGCGAGUCUGCAACAGUCUACCAUGACAUUGGAUUUGUGAUCCAAUGAUAUCUUAAGCAGAGCUCAUAUGUGGAAACACUUAGUAUUACCAAUGAAGAGGAAGAUGUGA